rfam:Omnitrophica WOR_2 bacterium RIFCSPHIGHO2_02_FTLL_48_11 rifcsphigho2_02_scaffold_2467, whole genome shotgun sequence.
AGGCCAGUAGCUCCAAUUGGUAGAGCAACGGUCUCCAAAACCGUGUGUUGUAGGUUCGAGUCCUACCUGGCCUG